AACUUUCUUGGGUACCCAUGUCUCGAGACAAUAUAUCUUCUCUUCUGGAGGUCAGAAAUAUUUUGCAUCCUUUGUGAUCAUUACCAUAAGGAAUUCCUACUUUCUCCGGUUCGAGUUGUUCCCAAAUAUCAUCCAAAAUUACGAGGAUCUUCUUCUCAUUCACCAAUCGUUGAUGCAAUCGAUAUGCUCUUCCAUCUUCAGACUCCUCCUCUAAUUUCAAGCCCAGCACAUCAGCAAUCUUCCAUUGAAUUUUUCUAACCUCUGGUGUUUCAGUCACAGUAGCCAUAACUAUAACAUCGAAUAACUUGUCUUCUAUAGCUUUCC
rnacentral:misc_RNA from 1 species